ensembl:lncRNA
CUGGUGAGCGCAUCGUAGCCGCACACAGAGGACAAAACGCCACACACAGUCAGAGACAUGCUUAUUUUGGUUCUCAUUUUGUACUGGGGCAUCAACGUCACGUGUACACAUGGAUUGUAGCGUAAAUAAGUGCCCCUUACGGUGCUACCAAUUGUGGCUUGUAUCUAUUCAAAUAAACACUACAGCCGUGGUUAUGCAAAUACAGAUUGAAGAGAUCUGCACUCCACUGUGGGCAUCGGUUUAGGUUUUCAUAUUGACCCUUCUCUGUGGCCGCCUCUUUUCCCACCAAUAAGGACGUUGGUGUUGAGAUCAGCUCUGAUUGAUUAUCUUAUUUGAAAUUGGUCUUAUUUGUGAGAUGCUCAGAUCCUGAUUGUCUUUAUGUAGAUUUGCGCUACAGGAGACACAAAAAGUAGAGGCCAAAGGGUCAGUCACACAUCAGCACCCAAAACACCUGCUGAUUACAAUGGGUGAUGCUUCCCGAGAUGAUGUCACACUCCGGGUGUUUGGUUCCAAACUGCAUCGGCACGCGCACGUGUGUGUGUGUCUGUAAGCGCAUAUAUGUAACCUGAGUGCAGCUAUGCAACCAGAGAGACGUGACAGCACCAGAUAAGGUGAACACACAGCUCUCUGACCCUGUCUCUGGGUUUACCUGCAUCUUCCUCUCUCUCUCUCUGUCGCACACUUGCACACACACACACACACACCGCCAAACACACCCUGUCCUCCUCUCCCUGAUAUGUCUGAUCUAUAAACCUGCAGCUGCGAUAAGCAUGUAAAUAAUACCUGGCGCCUCGUGUCUAACUUCUGCAGUAGAACCAGUCAACUCCUUCCUCCCCCUCUCUGCCCUUUCGGUCCCUCCAAAUAAAUGUUUAGUCAUAAUGCCUCCCAAAGCAAAUAAAAAAACAUUUUUAUUCUCUCAAUAUUCAGUGGAAACUCUGAAAGAUCUCUCUUUCAAUGAUUCCACGAGUGGAAAAACCUUACGCUUUUAGCUUUGAGUCAAUGUUCCCUCCUCAUGCAUCAAUUCUGCUCUCGUGAUUUGAAUACAAGAAAUUUGUUUAAAAUCCAGACGGUUGUAAAGACAUCGAGUUACACAUGUGACAGAGAGUGAGGUCAUUGUGUUAAUAGGCAAACACCAUAUUUCACUUAUGGCAAACACAAUCUUGAACAUAUGUGUAUGUUAUUGUAUAGGUGUAUCUAUUGUGAUUUGAAUAGAGAUUUUUCAUUAUAUUUGAUUUGGGGAAAACUAAUUUAAAAACUGAAAAACGGUGAGCUCCGCGUUGUUUUUCUCAGUUUCUGAAAUUUUGCAAUUUUUAAGUAUAUCAGUGGAAAUCAGUGUGGUGUUUGUUGACGUGGACGCUGCCUCGCCGGCAGGUGAGACGAGUCCACAACAAGUGUGCGUGUCUAUCGGUCUAUGUGGUAACCAAAACAGAAGGCCUCAGCAUGUGUCCCUGCAACUGAAAGCCGAGCCAGUGUUUGGGUUGCUACAAUGACAUCAUCGGUUUCACCCUCACCUCCUCCACAUGUCAGCCUGCUCCUCCCCCCUCCACGCUGGCAGCCUGUUUAGAAACAUCUGAACAGGGAGGGGGGUAGGGCUGCCAAAUCCUGGUUCCUGGGGCAAUUCCUUGUUUUGUAUUCUGUUGUUGUCCGUGAUUAACACACACAUGCAUCAAUGUGGAUGGAUGUCGGAAUGUUGGGUUGCUAAAGUUAGCUCAAGGGCACCUCAGCAGUGACCAGGAGGUGAACUGGCAUCUCUCCAGCUACCAGAACUUCAGUUCCUUCCUGCAGACUGAGCUCCAGCUGCCUCAAUCCUUACAUUGUUACGUCACUACCUCAUGCCUCUUUUUAGUCAUUUAAACUAAUAAUUAAUAUAUUGAGCCUCUCUUUUGACUCCUCCAAUGUCUCUUAUUUCUUAUUUAACCUGAUGCUCUGAGCAAUAUUUUAAUACAGAAAAUAUAUUUGCGUAAAUGUAGUUUUUAUUUUCAUCCUUUUAUUCCAUUUGUAUAUUCUAUCCUUCAUAGUUCUGCCUGCCCUCUUUGUUCCUUCAAUCAUGCCUCAAUCCUUCCAUCAUUUUAUCUUUGCACCGAAAUCUUAGAGAGAGACACAGUUGUGUUUUAUGCCUUCAGUCUUGUUUCAGUUUGAAUUAAAAACCUCCACAUUGUCUACAAUGCCCCUGUGUCUUUUCUUUUGUUGGUGUCUUCAUUUGUUUUGCCCUUUCUCUUCUCACCUGCAUCUUCGCAAAUUAACUCCCACUGUUGUUGUGAUAAUUAUCUGCUAAAGAGGCACCGCAGGAGACAACCUGCUCUGUCAGCGGGUGACGAAGCUGCCCGUUAACAGGUGAAGGCAGAGCGAUCCCAGUGCUCACUGAUACCUUAUCAGGUGUAUGCGGUAACAUUAGGGGGCAAUAAAAGGGCUCUGUGUUUGCAACCAGCGAUGCGGUGAAAAAAAAGCUCUACUUAGGGACACAUUUCAUUUAUUCAAUUUUUCCAAUAUAAAGGUGACAGACGGACGUGUGGGGAAAGUUUUUGCACAUUUACAGCAGCUUGGAUGUACCAGAGAAGGUGUCAGGCUUCUGUGGAGGAACAGCAUUACCUCAUCCUUUGAAUAGCGCAGGACAGAUGGACCUGGUGUGUGUGUGUGUGUGUGUGUGUGUGUGUGUGUGUGUGUGUGUGUGUGUGUGUGUGUGUGUAUGUGUGUGUGUGUGUGUGUGUGUGUGUGUGCUUCUGACAGCCCAACAAAUCCCUGUUAUGAUAAGUAGAGUCAACAUAGUGUGGUGGAAUGUGCAUCUGCAGCACAUCACGUCGGUUCACACAUGGCCUCAGUUCUCUUGCUACACCAGCAACAUUUUGGUCUUUUGAAUAGAGAUAUAUACUCACAAAUACUCUUAAUAACGCACAUCUAGUUGCUGGUGUUUUCUGGUGAGAUGUAAAAACAGGUCAAAAAUACAUUGCUAAAUUUAUUUAGCAACGUGUGGGAGAUGUUAGUCAUCAUUUUCAUCAACAGAGAAAAAGAGAAGUAAUAUGUGUACACACACACACGCACACACUCACACACGCACAUAUAUUAUAUUAUAUGAAACACAAAGUUAUAUGAAAAGACAUAACGUACAAUAUAAUACAAUAAAAUGACAAUAUGGGCAUGCUUCAAGGUGUCGGUGUAGGUAUCAGAUAUCGGAAGACCAGUCAACCUUAUGGCUUUUGAUGGUGUUGUAUCAAUGGAUUAGAGGUUGUAUGUUUAAGUUAAAUAACUGUACUAACAAACCAAAUGAAUGCAUUGGAAAGUAACUGUGAAUAACU